rnacentral:rRNA from 1 species
GUACACUCCUGCGGGAGGCAGCAGUGGGGAAUAUUGCACAAUGGGCGCAAGCCUGAUGCAGCCAUGCCGCGUGUAUGAAGAAGGCCUUCGGGUUGUAAAGUACUUUCAGCGGGGAGGAAGGCGAUAAGGUUAAUAACCUUGUUGAUUGACGUUACCCGCAGAAGAAGCACCGGCUAACUCCGUGCCAGCAGCCGCGGUAAUACGGAGGGUGCAAGCGUUAAUCGGAAUUACUGGGCGUAAAGCGCACGCAGGCGGUCUGUCAAGUCGGAUGUGAAAUCCCCGGGCUCAACCUGGGAACUGCAUUCGAAACUGGCAGGCUAGAGUCUUGUAGAGGGGGGUAGAAUUCCAGGUGUAGCGGUGAAAUGCGUAGAGAUCUGGAGGAAUACCGGUGGCGAAGGCGGCCCCCUGGACAAAGACUGACGCUCAGGUGCGAAAGCGUGGGGAGCAAACAGGAUUAGAAACCUCGGUAGUCCC